rnacentral:rRNA from 1 species
GAUGAACGCUAGCGGCAGGCUUAAUACAUGCAAGUCGUGGGGCGGCAGUUCCGUAGCAAUACGGGAGCUGGCGACCGGCAAACGGGUGCGGAACACGUACACAACCUUCCUUUAAGUGGGGAAUAGCCCAGAGAAAUUUGGAUUAAUACCCCGUAGCAUUAUGAAGUGGCAUCACUUUAUAACUAUAGCUCCGGCACUUAAUGAUGGGUGUGCGUCUGAUUAGGUAGUUGGCGAAGUAAUAGCCCACCAAGCCUACGAUCAGUAACUGGUGUGAGAGCACGACCAGUCACACGGGCACUGAGACACGGGCCCGACUUCUACGGGAGGCAGCAGUAAGGAAUAUUGGGCAAUGGACGCAAGUCUGACCCAGCCAUGCCGCGUGGAGGAUGAAGAUCCUCUGGAUUGUAAACUUCUUUUAUCUGGGAAGAAAUCCAUCUUUUCUUGGGUGGUUGACGGUACUAGAUGAAUAAGCACCGGCUAACUCCGUGCCAGCAGCCGCCGGUAACAC